rnacentral:rRNA from 1 species
CCUACGGGAGGCAGCAGUAGGGAAUCUUCGGCAAUGGACGGAAGUCUGACCGAGCAACGCCGCGUGAGUGAAGAAGGUUUUCGGAUCGUAAAGCUCUGUUGUAAGAGAAGAACGAGUGUGAGAGUGGAAAGUUCACACUGUGACGGUAUCUUACCAGAAAGGGACGGCUAACUACGUGCCAGCAGCCGCGGUAAUACGUAGGUCCCGAGCGUUGUCCGGAUUUAUUGGGCGUAAAGCGAGCGCAGGCGGUUAGAUAAGUCUGAAGUUAAAGGCUGUGGCUUAACCAUAGUACGCUUUGGAAACUGUUUAACUUGAGUGCAGAAGGGGAGAGUGGAAUUCCAUGUGUAGCGGUGAAAUGCGUAGAUAUAUGGAGGAACACCGGUGGCGAAAGCGGCUCUCUGGUCUGUAACUGACGCUGAGGCUCGAAAGCGUGGGGAGCAAACAGGAUUAGAUACCCCAGUAGUC